rnacentral:rRNA from 1 species
GAUGAACGCUGGCGGCGUGCCUAAUACAUGCAAGUCGAGCGAACAGACGAGGAGCUUGCUCCUCUGACGUUAGCGGCGGACGGGUGAGUAACACGUGGAUAACCUACCUAUAAUACUGGGAUAACUUCGGGAAACCGGCGCUAAUACCGGAUAAUAUAUUGAACCGCAUGGUUCAAUAGUGAAAUACGGUUUUGCUGUCACUUCUAGAUGGAUCCGCGCCGCAUUAGCUAGUUGGUAAGGUAACGGCUUACCAAGGCAACGAUGCGUAGCCGACCUGAGAGGGUGGUCGGCCACACUGGAACGGGAACACGGUCCAGACUCCUACGGGAGGCAGCAGUAGGGAAUCUUCCGCAGUGGGCGAAAGCAUGACGGAGCAACGCCGCGUGAGUGAUAAAGGUCUUCGGAUCGUAAAACUCUGUUAUUAGGGAAAAACAGAUGUGUAAGUAACUAUGCAGGUCUUGACGGUACCUAAUCAGAAAGCCACGGCUAACUACGUG